CAAUCAGCGCGGGGGGCGUGGUCGGCGGCCCCGUUGGAGAGUGCUGCGGAGGAAGCAGCCGGAGAGGGGCGCUGGGAGCUGGCAGCGGAGCGGGACCGGAGCGGCUGCGCUGACUGCCUCCUCCUGCCUGCAGAGCGCAGAGCCGGGGCAGGGCGAAGCUCGGAGUCUCUCAGCCUCACAGCCGCCAGUGAGGCAGGGAGCAAAGCAGGAGCCUGCAGCACCGAGAGGCGGCGGCGAGCGAGGCUCUUGAGACGCCUGGCAGCGGCUCCGGGGGCAGAGCCGGCCCGGCCCAGGCGAGCCUCGCCACGGCCCUCGGCGGCUGCCGUCCGACUCCGUCCCGCCGGCGGGAGCCGCCCCGAGCCCUGCAGGCGUCCGGCCGCGGUGCUCGGCGACGGUGGCUGCCGGUGGAGCCCAGCGGCAGCGAGACGCCAGCGGCGGCAGCCUGCAUCGCCUCUGCUUCUCCCAGCCGGCAGAGGCUGCAAUGACAUCCCCCAGCAGCCUGCUUCAGGCGAAGCUGAAGAGCUGUAGCUCAGCCUUCCUUUGUGGCAGAGCUGUUCCAGCUCCCUGUCUCCUCCUGUGGCCUUCUCUGGACCUGCUCUUAACUGGUUGAUGCCUUCCCUGUGCUGGGGAGCUGGAUGCAGCAGGUGAGGAGGAGCCACAGCAGAGUGCAGUGGAAGGGCAGAAUCGCCUGCCCUGCUCUGCUGAGCACUUUGAAGAGCCAGGUAAUGACACAGUGCCUUGAGUCAAAGCCUCUUUCCUCCUGUGUGCUUCUGCCUGACCUCUCCCUGCUCAUGGAACUCCGUUUCUGUGACAAAAGGUCCUGCAGCUGCAGCAGGAGCUUGUGCACGCUGGCAGAGUGCAGCCUCUGGCAGAGUCCUCCCACGAAGCCCAGAAGCUUUCCAGCAGCUGCCUGCAGCAGGAGAGCAGUGAGCUGCAGAGGGAGAAUGUCAGUUUGCAGGAGGAGCUGGAGAGAUCUGAAGCUAAGGGUCCAAGGUGAACAUUGCAGGCUGAGCAGCACAGCCCAGGAGCAAGCCAGGAGCACUGCAGCCCUUCAUAAAGACCUGCAAGCUGCUGCCUCGUGCCUGUGGAUGCCUUGGCCAGAAGGUGCAGCUCCACCCUGCAGCGAGCAGACCUCCCAAGAGGAACGUCCAGGACUCAGAAGGGACUCACUGCCAGUGCCCAGAGCCGGAGGACCUGGCCUCGAUGGCAAGCUGCAGGGAGGCAUUCCUGGCUGGAGCGUGGCAAAGAGAGUUGGCCGUGGGCAGGCACAAGGUAGCAGGCCUGGCUGUGUGCUGCUCUCCAGCAGUGCCCCUGAGUGGAAGCGGAGCUGAGCCCAGCUCUGCUGUGCCCCCGUGCAGGGAGCUGCCUGCGAGCAGAGCCAGGCCUGGCCCUGGAGCUUGCAAGGUGCUUCUGCACAUCAGCCCCUGGGCUUCCAGAGCUGCACAGGGCCUGGCAGGUGCAGGCUGCCUGCAGUGCCCCUGGGAGGGCAGGAAGGCUUUUCUGCCUGCCUUCAGGGAAAGCUGAGGCCCUGCGUGUGGGGUGUGGUGCUGGGGGCAGUGCUGGCUGCUGUCACUGACUGCUGGCCCAUGGAGCACGGCACAGCUGUGCUGCCUGCAUGGGCACAUGGCAAAGGCCAACUGCUGCCUGCAGGUUGGAGGUGCUUCUGGAUGAGGCAGAGCUGAGGCCAGGGACGGGGAGAGAGAGUGAAUGGCAGCUGAGUGUCCGUGAGAGGGAGAAGCAGCAGGAUGCAGGCCACUGUGGUCUGGAGGAGCAAGGAGCAGCAGCCCAGCUGAGACAGAGCUGGAGACAGGACAGCGAGAGAGAGCUGAGGCAGGUGAAAAGAGAGGGAAAGAAAGCAGCAAUGCUAAAGGCAAAAACCAACCAGGAGAGAAAAAGUGAGGCAGAGAAAGAGUGGGAGAGAAAGAAGGCAAAAGAAAAAGCACAACAAAAGCUCUGCCAGAAGACUGCUCUGGUUUGGCACAGCCCUGGCCAGUCUGUGCCACCUGAUCAGCAGGCCCUGUGCUGGCUCUGGCCUCUGCUCCAGCCUCAUCUUCUUCUGCAGAGCCACAGCAGAGUGGAGUAGGAAGGGAGAGGAACCUCCUUCGCUCUGCUGGGCCCCCUGCAGGUUUGAGCAAGGACAGGAGUGAGAGGCAGCAGCACCUGGCCUGCUGGGGACUCCAUGUCCCUCUCCCCACUGCUAAUGAAGCACAAGGCUGAGAUCUUCCCCACUCUGCUGCUUGGGCCACGGAGAAGCAGUCGCAGGCUGCUGGCCUCAGCUGAGCUGCAGCAGCUGCAGGAGGCAGGGUGAGAGCAGGGGCUGAGGCCAAGCAAGUAAGGCUCAACUCUGGAGCUGCUCCUGAGUGCCCCAGGGGUGGAGGAACCUUUGCAUCUACUCUGCCUUGCAGUGGCUUCUGCUGCUGGGCACUGAGCCCAGAGGAGGCAGGGCAGGGCUGUGCCACAGCAACAAAAGGUUACUCUGGAGAGCUGGAGGGUUUAAUUUGGAGAGUGGGAAGCAUUCAGCCUGGGCCUGGGCUGCAGCCCCCAAGGGGCAGAGCGGAUCAGGGUGAGGCUGGCCCAGGCUCAGGAAGCUGACAGGGCAGGGUCAGGAGAAGCUGCAGGCAGCAGCAGACAUUUUGCACUGAGCUGAGCUGCAGGACUGGAUGAAAAAGCUGAAAGCUGAGCUUUGUGCUGGCCUAGGCAGCGGUGGGGAGCAGCGGGAGGGAAGCUGCUGGGGGCACAGCAGGGCUGCUGCAGAGGCUGAGGUGGGGCAGGGGCAGGCGGCAGCAGAGUGCCCGGAG